rnacentral:rRNA from 1 species
CUACGGGCGGCUCCAGUCGCGAAUCUUUUACAAUGCACGAAAGUGUGAUAGAGCGAACCAAAGUGCUUUCAUUUUUUGAAAGCUUUUCUUCGGUGUAACUAACCGGAGGAAUAAGGACUGGGUAAGACCGGUGCCAGCCGCCGCGGUAAUCCCGGCAGUUCGAGUUGCAUCCAACAUUAUUGGGUCUAAAACAUCCGUAGCUUGUUCGUUAAGUUUCUUGUGAAAUCCUACAUCUCAAGGGUAGGGCGUGCAAGAAAUACUGGCGGGCUCGAGAUCGGUAGGCGUAAGGAGUACGUCGGAGGUAGUGGUAAAAUACGUUAAUCUUCGAUGGACUAACAAUCAGCGAAGGCACCUUACGAGGACGAAUCUGACAGUGAGGGAUGAAGGCCAGGGGCGCAGAACGGAUUAGAUACCCCGGUAGUC